GCUCCCGAUCCUGGCUCCCAGCCGUGACCCCGGGGGAAAAGGGAGCCCGGCAGGGCUGGGGGCUCCCGGGGCGGCCCCUCCUGCCACCGUGCUCUCUCCUCCCGGCUGGUUUCUUCUGUCCAGCGCUUUCCCGGAGCGGCUGCGGGCAGGACAAUCCCUGGCCUGCCUCUGGUGCAGCCUGGGAGAGCUCGAACCGGAGUGGAAGCUGCUGCGGGGGCACCGGUUCCCGCUGGGGACCCUUAAGCCCUGCCUAUUGUCUCCCUCGCAGGCGAUGCCCGGGUCCGCGAAGCUCUGCUUUUACUGAAAACCGCCUUUUUCCGCUCUAAACGUGCUUUGGUGGGAGCAGAGGCUGCCCCGGGAUCCACCCCUGCUGCCUCGGGAGGGGCUGGCUGGGGUUUCAGCCAGAUCCUGGCUUUCUCCUGGGGAGAAAUGGGACAUUUCUUGUGUCUCGUCCCACUUUCUCCCUCCCUUCCUUCCUGUCACAGGUGCGGGUUACCGGGAAGGGGCUGGGAGGAGCUGCCCAUGCCCAUGUGGGGAGAAACUCCGGGGCUGUUUGGGCCAUCGGGAACUGACUGGCCCACGUCUCUCCCUGUGCAGGGAUGGACAGACAGAUGGACAAAGGACCCCCAGCCACACAGUGAGACACCUGUGAUAGAAAGACCCGCGUGGAGAGUGGAGCCUGCUCUGAGAACGAUGCUGCUGCCUGCCUUCCGCAGCCACUCCUGGCCAGGGACUGCCCUGCCGGUCCUGCCUUGUGCCCACAGGGAGACACUGCGGGGCUUUCGCUUGGGCUCAGCUGUGGCCUCAGCUCCAUCUUAUUUGCAGCUCCACUUUGGCUCCAUCUGCAGCUCACCUGUGGCUCCAGAAACUGAACUUCUCAGCUACUUCUCGGAUUUUUCCUUCUCUUCUACUUUUAUCAGUCAGUAAGAAGAGAAAGGUAACCUGCAAGUUACUUCAUAAGGAAAAAGAUGAAGUAUGUGACAGUUGGAAUAGAUCAGCCCCAUAGGCCAUCAGAGAGAAUCACACCAACAUCUUGUUUUCUGCAAGCCACAAGAAACACUGAGGAAGUGAGGGGGUUUCAUGAUGUCUACCAGAGCAUCCCUGGUGUGGUCA